CUAUACAUGAUUCUAAAGAUUGAUAUCCUUUUUAUUUUAUUUUAUUUUGUAUGUUUAUUUUCAGUUUUAUAAUGUUGUGCAUUUUUUUUCUUUUUUUAGGUGUGUUUCUUUUAUUGUUGUUUUUUUUUCCUUUCACUAAUGAAAUUGAAGGAUCAUUUAGGCCAAGUUUAUGCAGACUUUCCAGGUAAAGCUCAAAACCCGUCCCUUUGUUCAAAAUUUUGCUCCUUAUUGUCCUUCAUAUAUUUUGCACAUUUAAUCUUUACAUUGAGGACAAUGUUUCAUUUAGGUUGGGGGAAAGGCAUCAAAAUGUUAAAAAAAAAAAAAGAAAAAAAAAUUCUUACUGACCGAUGAUAAUAAUAGAAAUUGUUUUUAUAUUAUUAUGACUAGGGGAUGCUGCUUUGAUUUAGUUUAAGCUUGUUCAUGUUAGAUUGAUCUACAUUGAGCACAAUGAUCAUGAAAAUCACAUAUUAUUUAGAUUGGAUCAAUGGAUAGAAUAUGUAGAAUUAACUAUGACAAAAAAAAAAAAUUCCAACUAAACCAAUUCUAGGAUAGUUUGGGGUGGUUGAGCUGUUGUGAGGAGACAUUGAGAUAGAUGUGGAUUCCAUGUGUGUUAAAUUUUGUGUGGAUUGCUUAAGACCAAUGAGAUGAUAAUUAGGUGAAAAUCUUAAGUUAAAGAUCGAUUUUCGAGAAUAAGUGUUUAAUGAGGGGAAUUGCAUUAAUCAUUGCAUAGAAGCGAAAAAGCUGCCAUGUUGUGAAGCUACCCUAAAAGAGCCCAAUGAGGAAAAUUAUAUACAUAAAAAGAGAUAGGCUAGUGCAUGAAACAGAAUACGCACGGCAAACUUGAAAAAAAGCAGGUGCAUGAAACAGAAGAUGCACUACAUGCCUUGAUUAAGUCCCAAACACUUAUUUUAGAGAAUUAGACCUUUGAUAAGGGAUUAGUAACUUAGUUGAUUCUUGGAGGUUGAGUCAGUCAAAAUUAAGGAGAAUCCUCAUUUAUUGAUGUGUUGAGCUACAAUUAGUAAAACCUAACCAAACUAGAGAGGGUGAGUAAGAGUAUAAAUCACACCUUGGGAAAAUAGUUAGAAAAUCAAGUUUGAGGGUAUGCAUCCCACGAGAGAAGAGAGAAAUAAUUGAC
rnacentral:lncRNA from 1 species